GACAGACUCUUUGUGGCCAAGUAGGUCUUGGGACACAGGCCUGAUUCGAAAGUAUUUAGAUGGAAGAACUGAGGAACAGCAAGGCUAAGUGACAUGCCAGAAGCCACAGCAAGGAGAGACAAGAAUCCAGGUCUCCCACUACCCUCUCUGGUGCUUUGUUCACAAGAUGGAAAAUAAUUGAGCAAAUCCCAUUUCACACCUGAAUUGUAUUUAGAUACCUUGUGUCUGAAAGCCUAUGACUUUUAUGCAAGAAACCAAACCCACUGACCUGAGGCCUUUGAAAUACCUUGGCAUCAUAGAAGAGGGUCCCUGAUUUGUGUCUGCAUUUGUUCUGACAAAAAUAAUUCCAGAUGAGGUUCUGAGGAGGAUCGCCAGUGGGCCUGCCAACCUUCACCAUCACAACUAUUUAUAGCUUUAUCUUAAGAGGCCCCUGCUUUGUACUGCAGCUUGCAACUUUAACUUAACAACUGGAUUGGACUAUCUUCACAGGCUGUCAGUGGUGUUUAUAAAUUGCAAACAAGAAUUGCUACAGAGUAAUAGAACACUUCUAUCUUCCCUCCCCAGCAGCCAAGUAAAACCUUGACGGGACCAUAAGACUGGUUACAGCAAUAUUUUAGUUUCCUUCUGAUUUUUGAUCUUUUGUCUAGUAACAAUAAUUCAGUUGAAAAGAAGAUACGUUUCCCCUCAAAGGAAAUGAUGCCAUCAAACUAAUUUAUAAUAUAAUUACAUAUACAAUGCAUAACAACUGAAAGAAUUUACUGUGUUGGGGCAUUUACCUUUGCCACAGUAUAUGUAUUAUCCCUACUAAUUAGAAGAAUAAAAACAAAAUUCUGUGAUACUAUCCAGAUUUAAAAUGGUCUCUCCCUUUAGAGAAUUUUUAAACAAAAUAUUGAUUCAAAAAGUC